rnacentral:tRNA from 1 species
GGGUCGUUAGCUCAGUUGGUAGAGCAGUUGGACUUUUAAUCAAUUGGUCGCAGGGCUCGAAUCCUGCGCGACCCA